GCUGUAUCGGUUCGAUCGGGGGUCUCAUCAAUAAUAUCUGAAUACCGAGAAAGCUACUCCGCUCAAUGGCGGGCCGACACGACGCAGUCGGGGUCGGAUUACAGAGAACGGAGAGGCACUCAAAUCUUACUUUAUCUCGGAGUUCCAUCACAUCGCCGGUACAGCCUCUUU
rnacentral:sRNA from 1 species